GACGUAGGGGGCAAGCGUUGUUCGGAAUUAUUGGGCGUAAAGCGCUCGUAGGCGGGAAUGGAAGUCCGUGUUGAAAGACCUCGGCUCAACUGAGGGACCGGCUCGGAUACUCUAGUUCUUGAGGCAAUCAGAGGGUGAUGGAAUUCCCGGUGUAGCGGUGAAAUGCGCAGAUAUCGGGAAGAACACCCGUGGCGAAGGCGGUUCUCUGGGACGGUACUGACGCUGAGACGCGAAAGCGUGGGGAGCGAACAGG
rnacentral:rRNA from 1 species